rnacentral:other from 1 species
UACGAACUGGAACAUACGAUAAGGCUAUAUAUAAGUUCAACCUACAUAUUUAAUACGGGAGACUUUGUUCAUAUAUAAGUAUGAUAUGCCUGUUUAUGUUCGGGACUUCAAAAAGUAUAAGGCGAGUCACCCACCUGGGUGAAUCUCGGGUGUGAAUUUAAUCAGGUCUACGGUGUUUUGGGAUC